rnacentral:rRNA from 1 species
CCUACGGGAGGCAGCAGUGGGGAAGUCUUGCGCAAUGGGCGAAAGCCUGACGCAGCAACGCCGCGUGCGGGAAGAAGGCUUUCGGGCUGUAAACCGCUUUCAGCAGGAACGAAAAUGACGGUACCUGCAGAAGAAGGAGCGGCCAACUAUGUGCCAGCAGCCGCGGUGAUACAUAGGCUUCAAGCGUUGUCCGGAUUUAUUGGGCGUAAAGAGUUCGUAGGCGGUCGAGUAAGUCGGGUGUGAAAAUUCUGGGCUCAACCCAGAGACGCCACCCGAUACUGCUUGACUUGAGUUCGAUAGGGGAGUGGGGAAUUCCUAGUGUAGCGGUGAAAUGCGCAGAUAUUAGGAGGAACACCGGUGGCGAAGGCGCCACUCUGGAUCGAUACUGACGCUGAGGAACGAAAGCAUGGGUAGCAAACAGGAUUAGAUACCCUGGUAGUCCAUGCCGUAAACGGUGGGCACUAGGUGUGGGUUUCUAUUAACGAAAUCCGCGCCGUCGCUAACGCAUUAAGUGCCCCGCCUGGGGAGUACGGUCGCAAGACUAAAACUCAAAGGAAUUGACGG